rnacentral:lncRNA from 1 species
AAACCUUUUCAAAACUCACCAGAUCAUUUCCUCCAUCAUCUCUCUUCUCUAGCACACUUUUCCCUCUUUCCCUCUCUCUCUUGUUCCAUUAUAGAGAAAACAAGAACAAAAAUGAAAUCGGAGAAACUGAUGAGCAUUAGAUCGAUGUAAACGCCAUCUAGAUCUAGAUCUAGAUCCGUACCGUCAUCUAGACCUGGAUCCAUCAUGUUUCUUUUAAACCCGUCAAGAUCUAGAUCUGGAUCCAUCAUGUUUCUUUUCAAACCCCACAGCCGGAUCCGGAUCCAGAUCAGAAAUAAUCAGAAUUAAACAUCACUCUUCCUCUAUCUUUCCACCAUCUCCCAUCUCUCUCUUCGGGAACCAGAUCUGCAGUGGUGGUUGCAGAUUUGGUGGAAGGUUAGGGUUUGUUCGAAAUAAAAUUUUGGGGUUUUCAUGUACAAAAGAGGAUAGCUCAAAUUAACGGUUGAAGGUUGAUGAAGGAUGGUGGCAGGUGGGGUUGAUGGGGGAUAUUGAUGGCAGUCGUUGUUGUUGAAGGAAGGUGGCAGGUGGGUUGAUGUUGGCGGUUGUUGAUGAAGGAUGGUCGCAGGUGGGUGGUGAUCGUUGAAGGUUGAUGAAGGAUGGUGGCAAGUGGUGGUCCGGUGGUAGUGGUGGUUGUUGGGAGCUACGGUGGUGGAGGGUCUAGCUGAAAACAUGAAUAAUCAAAGCCAAAGCCAAUUUCAGAUCUUGUUCAAGAAGGUGAAUAAGUAUGUUUUUUUCAGCUUUGUUUGGAAAUCUACACUUUGAAGAUGAUGUUUCAGAUGUUGAAGAUGAUUCAAAAGAUGUUUGAUGUUGAACAUAGUUACGAAAUGUAACAAUCAAAGAAAAAAUGUCUGUUACAUUUUUUUUGUGUUAGAAAUGUAACAAUCAAUCAAAGCAAAAAUGCCUGAGAUUUAUGUAGACUUUUUGCUGUGUUGAAUCUGAGAAUUUUAUAUGUUAUGGAUUUUUUGG